rnacentral:rRNA from 2 species
GACGAACGCUGGCGGCGUGCUUAACACAUGCAAGUCGAACGGAAAGGCCCUUCGGGGUACUCGAGUGGCGAACGGGUGAGUAACACGUGGGUGAUCUGCCCUGCACUUUGGGAUAAGCCUGGGAAACUGGGUCUAAUACCGAAUAGGACCACGCGCUUCAUGGUGUGUGGUGGAAAGCUUUUGCGGUGUGGGAUGGGCCCGCGGCCUAUCAGCUUGUUGGUGGGGUAAUGGCCUACCAAGGCGACGACGGGUAGCCGGCCUGAGAGGGUGACCGGCCACACUGGGACUGAGAUACGGCCCAGACUCCUACGGGAGGCAGCAGUGGGGAAUAUUGCACAAUGGGCGCAAGCCUGAUGCAGCGACGCCGCGUGAGGGAUGACGGCCUUCGGGUUGUAAACCUCUUUCAAUAGGGACGAAGCGCAAGUGACGGUACCUAUAGAAGAAGCACCGGCCAACUACGUGCCAGCAGCCGCGGUAAUACGUAGGGUGCGAGCGUUGUCCGGAAUUACUGGGCGUAAAGAGCUCGUAGGUGGUUUGUCGCGUUGUUCGUGAAAACUCACAGCUUAACUGUGGGCGUGCGGGCGAUACGGGCAGACUAGAGUACUGCAGGGGAGACUGGAAUUCCUGGUGUAGCGGUGGAAUGCGCAGAUAUCAGGAGGAACACCGGUGGCGAAGGCGGGUCUCUGGGCAGUAACUGACGCUGAGGAGCGAAAGCGUGGGGAGCGAACAGGAUUAGAUACCCUGGUAGUCCACGCCGUAAACGGUGGGUACUAGGUGUGGGUUCCUUCCUUGGGAUCCGUGCCGUAGCUAACGCAUUAAGUACCCCGCCUGGGGAGUACGGCCGCAAGGCUAAAACUCAAAGGAAUUGACGGGGGCCCGCACAAGCGGCGGAGCAUGUGGAUUAAUUCGAUGCAACGCGAAGAACCUUACCUGGGUUUGACAUGCACAGGACGCCGGCAGAGAUGUCGGUUCCCUUGUGGCCUGUGUGCAGGUGGUGCAUGGCUGUCGUCAGCUCGUGUCGUGAGAUGUUGGGUUAAGUCCCGCAACGAGCGCAACCCUUGUCCUAUGUUGCCAGCGGGUUAUGCCGGGGACUCGUAGGAGACUGCCGGGGUCAACUCGGAGGAAGGUGGGGAUGACGUCAAGUCAUCAUGCCCCUUAUGUCCAGGGCUUCACACAUGCUACAAUGGCCGGUACAAAGGGCUGCGAUGCCGUGAGGUGGAGCGAAUCCUUUCAAAGCCGGUCUCAGUUCGGAUCGGGGUCUGCAACUCGACCCCGUGAAGUCGGAGUCGCUAGUAAUCGCAGAUCAGCAACGCUGCGGUGAAUACGUUCCCGGGCCU